UGUCAACAAAUCUCUUUCAGUUUGCUUGG
rnacentral:piRNA from 1 species